rnacentral:sRNA from 1 species
UACACCACUGGGUCCCCGGGGAGCCGAGAGGCCCGGGACAGCCUGGCAGAGGCCACUCGGGGGCAUCGAGAGUACACGGAGGUGAGGGAUGGGUGCCCAUGAGGCAGAGGCACAGGGUGUGGCAGGGCUAGUGGCUGGCUCUUGACCCCCUCCUGUCCCUGCCCCUCCCUUCCAGAGCAUGUGUCUGCUGGAGAGCGAGCUGGAGGCACAGCUGGGCGAGUUUCAUCUCCGAAUGAAAGGGCUGGCUGGCUUCGCCAGGCUGUGUGUGGGCGAUCAGUAUGAGGUAUGAGAAUGUGCAGGGGAGGGCUGGGUCGGUAGAGUCCCAAGACCUAGGCUGCCUCAUCCUACCUGUUCCCCCAGAUCUGCAUGAAAUAUGGGCGUCAGCGCUGGAAACUACGGGGCCGAAUUGAGGGUAGUGGAAAGCAGGUGUGGGACAGUGAAGAAACCAUCUUUCUCCCUCUACUCACGGAAUUUCUGUCUAUUAAGGUGACAGAACUGAAGGGCCUGGCCAACCAUGUGGUUGUGGGCAGUGUCUCCUGUGAGACCAAGGACCUGUUUGCUGCCCUGCCCCAGGUUGUGGCUGUGGAUAUCAAUGACCUUGGUACCAUCAAGCUCAGCCUGGAAGUCACAUGGA